rnacentral:rRNA from 1 species
AGCGAACGCUGGCGGCAGGCCUAACACAUGCAAGUCGAACGGACCCUUCGGGGUUAGUGGCGGACGGGUGAGUAACACGUGGGAACGUGCCCUUUGGUUCGGAAUAGCUCCUGGAAACGGGUGGUAAUGCCGAAUGUGCCCUUCGGGGGAAAGAUUUAUCGCCAUUGGAGCGGCCCGCGUCUGAUUAGCUAGUUGGUGAGGUAAAGGCUCACCAAGGCUACGAUCAGUAGCUGGUCUGAGAGGAUGAUCAGCCACAUUGGGACUGAGACACGGCCCAAACUCCUACGGGAGGCAGCAGUGGGGAAUCUUGCGCAAUGGGCGAAAGCCUGACGCAGCCAUGCCGCGUGAAUGAUGAAGGUCUUAGGAUUGUAAAAUUCUUUCACCGGGGACGAUAAUGACGGUACCCGGAGAAGAAGCCCCGGCUAACUUCGUGCCAGCAGCCGCCGUAAUAC